UACGUAGGUGGCGAGCGUUGUCCGGAAUUACUGGGCGUAAAGGGCGCGUAGGCGGUUUUUUAAGUUAGAUGUGAAAACCCAGGGCUUAACUUUGGGCGUGCAUUUAAAACUGGAGAGCUUGAGUGCAGGAGAGGUAAGUGGAAUUCCUAGUGUAGCGGUGAAAUGCGUAGAUAUUAGGAGGAACACCAGUGGCGAAGGCGACUUACUGGACUGUAACUGACGCUGAGGCGCGAAAGCGUGGGGAGCAAAC
rnacentral:rRNA from 1 species